CAGCGCCACGAGUGGCAAUCAUAUUUAUUGGGCCUAAAGCGUUCGUAGCCGGUUUAAUAAGUCUUUUGUGAAAUCGUUGUGCUCAACAUAACGGCGUGCAAAAGAUACUGUUAAACUUGGAACCGGGAGGAGUUAGGAGUAUUCUGAGGGGAGCGGUAAAAUGCUGUAAUCCUCGGAGGACUACCUGUGGCGAAGGCGCCUAACUAGAACGGAUUCGACGGUGAGGAACGAAAGUCAGGGGAUCAAAACGGAUUAGAUACCCGAGUAGUCC
rnacentral:rRNA from 1 species